UAUCUUCGGAUAAUAGUAAAGUGGCGAACGGGUGAGUAACGCGUAAAUAACUUGCCUUGGAGAUUGGGACAACAUUGGGAAACCAGUGCUAAUACCAAAUAAUGCAGCGGGCCCUUCGGGGCAUAGUUGUUAAAGUAGGCUUCGGCUUACACUUCAAGAUAGAUUUGCGUCCGAUUAGUUAGUUGGUAGGGUAAUAGCCUACCAAGACCGAGAUCGGUAGCUGGUCUGAGAGGAUGAUCAGCCACACUGGAAUUGAGAUACGGUCCAGACUCCUACGGGAGGCAGCAGUGAGGAAUUUUGCACAAUGGGCGAAAGCCUGAUGCAGCAACACCGCGUGAUUGAUGAAGUUUUUAGGAAUGUAAAAAUCUGUCGUAAGGGAAGAAAUGUUUCGGAUGUUAAUACCAUCUGUUACUGACGGUACCUUACAAGAAAGGACCGGCUAACUUCGUGCCAGCAGCCGCGGUAAUACGAGGGGUCCUAGCGUUGUCCGGAUUUACUGGGCGUAAAGGGUACGUAGGCGUUUUAAUAAGUUGUAUGUUAAAUAUCUUAGCUUAACUAAGAAGGUGCAUACAAAACUGUUAAGAUAGAGUUUGAGAGAGGAACGCAGAAUUCAUGGUGGAGCGGUGACAUGCGUAGAUAUCAUGAGGAAAGUCAAAUGCGAAGGCAGCCUUCUGGCUCAAAACUGACGCUGAGGUACGAAAGCGUGGGGAGCGAACAGGAUUAGAUACCCUGGUAGUCCACGCCGUAAACGAUGAGUAUUUGGUGCUGGGGGAUUCGACCCUUUCAGUGCCGUAGCUAACGCGAUAAAUAC
rnacentral:rRNA from 1 species